rnacentral:rRNA from 1 species
GCAUAUCAAUAAGCGGAGGAAAAGAAACCAACAGGGAUUGCCUUAGUAACGGCGAGUGAAGCGGCAAAAGCUCAAAUUUGAAAUCGGCCUCCAGGUCGAGUUGUAAUUUGUAGAUUGUAUCUUGAGAGCGGAUUAAAGUCUGUUGGAACACAGCGCCUUAGAGGGUGACAGCCCCGUAAAAUCUAUUCUCAUUGUAAGAUACUUUCGAAGAGUCGAGUUGUUUGGGAAUGCAGCUCUAAGUGGGAGGUAAAUUCCUUCUAAAGCUAAAUAUUGACGAGAGACCGAUAGCGAACAAGUACUGUGAAGGAAAGAUGAAAAGCACUUUGAAAAGAGAGUGAAAAAGUACGUGAAAUUGUUAAAAGGGAAGGGUAUUGAAUCAGACUUGGUGCUGUUGUUCAACCAUGUUUCGGCAUGGUGUACUCAGCAGUACUAGGCCAAGGUGGGGUGUUUGGGAGUGAAAAAGAAGUAGGAACGUAACUCUUCGGAGUGUUAUAGCCUACUUUCAUAGCUCCUCAGGCGCCUCAGGACUGCGCUUCGGCAAGGACCUUGGCAUAAUGAUUCUAUACCGCCCGUCUUGAAACACGGACC